UACGUAGGGGGCAAGCGUUGUCCGGAUUUAUUGGGCGUAAAGAGCGUGUAGGCGGCCAGGUAGGUCCGUUGUGAAAACUCGAGGCUCAACCUCGAGACGCCGAUGGAAACCAUCUGGCUAGAGUCCGGAAGAGGAGAGUGGAAUUCCCGGUGUAGCGGUGAAAUGCGCAGAUAUCGGGAGGAACACCAAUGGCGAAGGCAGCUCGCUGGAACGGUACUGACGCUGAGGCGCGAAAGCGUGGGGAGCGAACAGG
rnacentral:rRNA from 1 species